CCCCUCAAAGCUAACUCCAAACCUCCUAAAUACUAAAGUGAGAGCCAUACCGAAAGGCAAAUGUGCCUUGGACCUAUUCGAGGUCUCUCUCAUAGCCUCAAUCAUUAAUGCCGGGAGGUUCAGGGGGGUUUGAGUAAUAACAUGAUACAUAAUACAGAUGUCCCGACCAGAGAGGAGAUCAUGUCUACCACUUCUAGGGAAAAAUAACUUGGUUACCAUUUGGUGUAGCAGCCUCAUCUCAAU
rnacentral:lncRNA from 1 species